UGUUACAUCCGGUGCUCGAUUUCGGACUAACAGCUUCCAUCCCAAAAACUGCCAUGUCUAUCGCCCAUGUCACAUCCGGUGCCCCAUUUCGGUCUAACAGCUUCCAUCCAAAAAACUGCCAAGUCUAACGCCCAUGUUACAUCCGGUGCCCGAUUUCGGACUAACAGCUUCCAUCCCAAAAACUGCCAAGUCUAUCACCCAUGUUACAUCUGGUGCCCGAUUUUGGCAUAAUAGCUUC
rnacentral:lncRNA from 1 species